ensembl:lncRNA
CAAAGAAAUUGAUUGUCUCAUGGUACUAGAGGCCAGAAGCCCAAAAUCAAGGCGUUGGCAGGGCCACGCUCCCUCCAAAGGCUCCCACAGAGGAUCCUUCCUUGCCUCAUCCAGCUUUUGGUGGCCCCAUGCACUUCUUGGCUUGUGGCUGUACCAUUCCAAUAUCUGCCUCUGUUUUCUCACGGCCUUCUUCUCUUCUCUACAAGUCUCUUCUUUCUGUGACCUGCAUAAGGACACUUAUCACUGGAUUUAGGGCCCACCUGGAUAAUCCAGGAUGAUCUCAUCUCAAGAUCCUUAAUCAUAUCUGCAAAGCCCUUUUUCUAAAUAAGGUCACUCUUGCCGCUUCUGGGGUUUAGGACAUGAACACAUCUUAGUGGGGGCUACCGUUCCAACCAUUACACUUCCAUGUGCCCUUGGCCAACGGCAAUGGAGAACAAACCCUGCUUUUUGGUCCACCCAAAGAUCCAAGCUCUAUGUCCCCGGAAACUGACCUGUGGACUGCUUCAUGUGGGCUCAUUUGCCCUCUGCUUCUGGCUGGUUUGGCAAUGGAGACAGAGAGAGAUGAGAAGGUGGGCGGAGAGAAAGGUUGGUGUGUGUUCAUUCCUCCAACCCCCGCCUUGUCUCUUCCACAGCUCCAGCCUCAGGCUGGUCCUUUGACCAUGCUUCAUUGAUUCCUGAAACCUGCUGCCACCUGUGUAAAUAGUAUCUGCAGUAAAUAACUCUUCAGUUAAACUCUUCUCUGCACUGUGUAUGCCCUGCCCAGACCCAACUGUUACAAUACUGAAUGCUCAUAUAAAUCUUAUAUAAAUGCUUACUUACUCUUAACUCUGACCCUCUUAUAAAUGCUAUAUGUAUAGUUAACAUUUGCAAUAAGCCUAUGAGGUAGAUGCUGUUAC